AUGCCUGUUGUUUCUGUUAAAAUAGGAGAUCAUUGUUAUCAUGGCUUAUGUGAUUUGGGUGCUAGUGUGAGUCCCAUUCCCUUUACUUUAUAUCAAGAAAUUAUGAAUGAUAUUGCACCUGCUGAAAUAGAGGAUAUUGAUGUUACUAUUAAGCUUGCUAAUAGAGAUACUAUAUCACCAAUUGGGAUUGUUAGAGAUGUUGAAGUCUUGUGUGGGAAAAUAAAAUACCCUACUAAUUUUCUUGUUCUUGGUCCCCCGGAAGAUGAUUUUUGUCCCAUUAUAUUUGGUAAACCUUUCUUGAACACUGUUAAUGCUAAGAUAGAUUGUGAGAAAGAAACUAUUAGUGUAAGCUUCGGGGAUAUGUCUUGA
rnacentral:rRNA from 1 species